rnacentral:rRNA from 1 species
UACGUAGGGGGCAAGCGUUGUCCGGAAUCAUUGGGCGUAAAGCGCGUGUAGGCGGCUGGCUAAGUCCGCUCUGAAAGCCCGGGGCUCAACCCCGGGAGGCGGGUGGAUACUGGUCAGCUCGAGUCCGGAAGAGGAGUGUGGAAUUCCUGGUGUAGCGGUGAAAUGCGCAGAUAUCAGGAGGAACACCAAUGGUGAAGGCAGCACUCUGGGACGGUACUGACGCUGAGACGCGAAAGCGUGGGGAGCAAACAGG